AAAUUAAAAUUGACAAAUAACACGUGUUUCUUGUGCAGACAGGUAAAACAUGCUCUCCUGGAGACUGCUAAUGAACCUUAGUUGUACAAGGAGUUCUUAUUCCUUCAAAAACACACAGACACCGCUGCAGAAAGACCAAAGAAAUCUGCAAAAUGCAGGAUAUUCAGCUUCACAGAAGAGCAGGCUGGGAGCUGCUGCAGUGCAAGGAGUUGGAAGAAGGGAGAAUUUUGGGAAAGCUGUGACCCCUCUUACCAUCUGAAAUACUCCACAUGCACUCUUGCAGAGUCCUGAGUUAUUGACAAGAACAAUUUGGGAGCCUAUAUUCGUAUUAACACAGUCCUUUGAUUUU
rnacentral:lncRNA from 12 species